rnacentral:rRNA from 1 species
UACGGAGGGGGCUAGCGUUGUUCGGAAUUACUGGGCGUAAAGCGCACGUAGGCGGACUGUUAAGUCGGGGGUGAAAGCCUGUGGCUCAACCACAGAAUUGCCUUCGAUACUGUAGAGCUUGAGACCGGAAGAGGUAAGUGGAACUGCGAGUGUAGAGGUGAAAUUCGUAGAUAUUCGCAAGAACACCAGUGGCGAAGGCGGCUUACUGGUCCGGUUCUGACGCUGAGGCGCGAAAGCGUGGGGAGCAAACAGG